rnacentral:rRNA from 1 species
UACGGAGGGGGCAAGCGUUGUUCGGAAUUACUGGGCGUAAAGGGCGCGUAGGCGGCCUGCUGCGUCGGGUGUGAAAGCCCCGGGCUCAACCUGGGAGGUGCACUUGAUACGGGCGGGCUGGAAUCCGGGAGAGGAUGGUGGAAUUCCCAGUGUAGAGGUGAAAUUCGUAGAUAUUGGGAAGAACACCGAUGGCGAAGGCAGCCAUCGGGACCGGUAGUGACGAUGAGGCGCGAAAGCGUGGGGAGCAAACAGG